rnacentral:rRNA from 1 species
UACGUAGGGUGCAAGCGUUAAUCGGAAUUACUGGGCGUAAAGCGUGCGCAGGCGGUGAUGUAAGACAGUUGUGAAAUCCCCGGGCUCAACCUGGGAACUGCAUCUGUGACUGCAUUGCUGGAGUGCGGCAGAGGGGGGAUGGAAUUCCGCGUGUAGCAGUGAAAUGCGUAGAUAUGCGGAGGAACACCGAUGGCGAAGGCAAUCCCCUGGGCCUGCACUGACGCUCAUGCACGGAAAGCGUGGGGAGCAAACAGG